rnacentral:rRNA from 1 species
GGCCCUGCACCGCAUAUCUCAACAGGGGCAACCCUGACGCAGCAACGCCGCGUGAGUGAGGAAGGUUUUCGGAUCGUAAAGCUCUGUCGAGUGGGAAGAAAUGUAUCAUGGCUAAUAUCCAUGAUACUUGACGGUACCGCUAAAGGAAGCACCGGCUAACUCCGUGCCAGCAGCCGCGGUAAUACGGGGGGUGCAAGCGUUGUUCGGAAUUAUUGGGCGUAAAGAGCGUGUAGGCGGCUGAAUAAGUCAGAUGUGAAAUCCCUGGGCUUAACCCAGGAAGUGCAUUUGAAACUAUUCAGCUUGAGUAGGGGAGAGGAAAGUGGAAUUCCUGGUGUAGAGGUGAAAUUCGUAGAUAUCAGGAGGAACACCGGUGGCGAAGGCGACUUUCUGGCCCUAUACUGACGCUGAGACGCGAGAGCGUGGGUAGCAAACAGGAUUAGAUACCCUGGUAGUCCACGCCGUAAAACGAU